rnacentral:rRNA from 1 species
UUGUGGUAAAAUAGAUGGUCUCGGCUACCAGUCCAAGGGGUUAAUGACCUCCUAGCCAUCACGCGUACGGGUGUUGGGAGACAUAGCCCGGAGAUGGAUUCUGAGACACGAAUCCAGACCCUACGGGGUGCAGCAGGCGCGAAAACUUCACACUGCAGGAAACUGUGAUGAGGGAACUCCAAGUGCAUGCACAAUGUGUAUGCUUUUCCUAACUUUUAAUCGGUUAGGGUAUAAGGGCUGGGAAAGACCGGUGCCAGCCGCCGCGGUAAUACCGGCAGCUCAAGUGGUCGUCGCUUUUAUUGGGCCUAAAACGUCCGUAGCCUGUUUGGUAAAUCUGUGGGUAAAUCAACCAGCUUAACUGGUUGAAUUCUGCAGAGACUGCCAGACUAGGGACCGGGAGAGGUGUGGGGUACUCUCGGGGUAGGGGUAAAAUCCUGUCAUCCUGGGAGGACCACCAGUUGCGAAGGCGCCACACUGGAACGGAUCCGACGGUCAGGGACGAAGCCUAGGGGCACGAACCGGAUUAGAUACCCGGGUAGUCCUAGGUGUAAACGCUGUGAACUUGGUGUCGGGGGUCCGCAAGGGGUCCCCGGUGCCGGAGUGAAGAUGUUAAGUUCACUGCCUGGGGAGUACGGUCGCAAGGCUGAAACUCAAAUGAAUUGACGG